AAGGAAUCAUGUAUAUUCUCUUGGUCCUUCCCUGCUUCCUGCUGGCUGGAAGAUAAUAACUGAAACUGCAGCCUUCUACUGCAAGAUAGAAACCAUGAGUUGUAGACUGCAGAACUUCCCAUAUAGUCUUGGACUAUGGAUUAUAAUGAGGCAGAAGAAUGAAUUUUCAUCUUAUUUAAAUCAUUGUAUCUUUUGAUCUAUUUAUUAUUGCUGUUUAGCCUAUAUCUUAACUAGGAAAACUACCAAAGAGGGUGUAUUAGUUUGCUCAGGUUGCUGUAACAAAAUACCAUAGAUUGGAUGGUUUAAACAGAGAAAUUUAUUGUCUUGCAAUGCUGGAGGCUGCAAGUCUGGGAUCAGGAUGCCAACAUGGUUGGAUUCUGGUAUGGGCUCUCUUUUUGGCUUAUAGACAGCCACUGUCUUGCUGUGUCCUUACAUCAUGACUGGGAUACAGAGAGAGAGAGAGAGAGAGAGCGCAAGAACAAGACAGCACUCUGGCCUCUUCUUAUAAGGGCACUGAUUCCAUCAUAAGGGCCCCACCCUCAUGACCUCAUCUAACCCUAAUCAUCUCCCAAAGCCCCCAUCUCCAAACAUCAUCACACUGGGGGCUAAGCCUUCAAUAUAUGAAUGUUUGGGGGACACAACUCAGUUCAUAGUAGAGGGCAAGGGGAGGAUCCAGUUUAAAUGGGAGUAAAGGGACAGGAAUCUCCCAUGAGGAAGUAUCUUUGAAGCUGAAUGAAGAAGCGUGCUCCAGAUAGAAGGAAUAGUGUGUAUAAAACCCUUGAAGGGGGAAGGAACUUGAUAUUUUCAAAGAAGUAUGAGGGAAAGCAGAAUGUCCUUACGGCUAACUUACGCAAAGCCUGUAUGUCUCAGCUCAAGUGGGACCUGUGAAAUAGUUCCCUGACCUCCUCUAAAUGUCGAGAACUGUGUUAUUUUACCCCACUUUUGAGCUAACACUUAAGCCUGCCACUGAUUCACGGAUGCUGAUAGAAGACACAACACUCCUGGAAGCAGCAGUGCCGCAGCAGCGUUGCGGGGCAGCAGGACUCAGUGGCCUGCAACUCUUAAAGGCGAGGAGAGACCACACUAACCAGAGAGCUGGCAGCCACACAGCAGUGUCAAGGAAGGCGAUGACAACCAACCAUCGUAUCAGGGAUGAAACAGGGCCUGGCAGGCAGCUGCAACACCGAGUAGCGGAUAGGAAGACUAUAGAUCAUGCAGCAUCUGCUUAGGAGUUUUCUGGUCACAAAAAUGCGAAGAGGAAGAGGAAGCAGCCUGUGGGAAGGAACAGAGAGGGAUUAUACACUGGGGGAACCCAAGUCAAUAAAUAAAUAAAUCAAUAAAUAAUAUGUAAGUGAAUGAAUGCACAAAUGCAUAAAUACACAUU